UAUCUUUCUUUAAUUUGAUGUUUCUAAGGCUAUCCUAAAAGAGCCUUAAAAAUUAACUUGCUCGUGGUACCUGCUUCCAGGACUAAUGUAAUUGGGUUCCAGAAGUACCCCAGUUUAUAAACUUUGCAGCAUUAACAGAAAAAAAGAUUAUUUUUUAGUUAAAUUAUGAUUCAUCUGAUUAUUUGUUAGCUUAAGUUUGAUCAUGAACCUUUCAAAGAGGUAUAAUAUCUCUUAGCCAUUCCAAUAGCUCAUGGUCCAUUCAAUCAUGCCUUGAUACAUGAUACUGGAAGCCUGUAUUGAAGUUCUAGAUAGCUACCAAUAAAAUUUAUCAGCAAGGAUCUCAGCAAAAAAUUUGUAAGCGAGGAAUUAAUUCAAUCUUUACAGUACAAAUGGGAGGCUUUUCUGGCAUCAUUACUACUUAAAUGAUCUCCCAUCAACAAAGAGGUACAAUCAAGCCGUGUCUUAAAUUUGGUAUGUUGUACGCCAUGGUCAAUCUAACAGCCAUAUGACAAUAGGAAAGAAAAGAAGAUGCUUGUAUUGUGAUACACUCCUGAAACAC
rnacentral:lncRNA from 1 species